rnacentral:rRNA from 1 species
CAGCAGCCGCGGUAAUACGGAGGGGGCUAGCGUUGUUCGGAAUUACUGGGCGUAAAGCGCACGUAGGCGGCUUGGUAAGUUAGAGGUGAAAGCCUGGAGCUCAACUCCAGAAUUGCCUUUAAGACUGCCGAGCUAGUAGGUGAGAGAGGUAAGUGGAAUUCCGAGUGUAGAGGUGAGAUUCGUAGAUAUUCGGAAGAACACCAGUGGCGAAGGCGGCUUACUGGCUCAUUCUAGACGCUGAGGUGCGAAAGCGUGGGGAGCAAACAGGAUUAGAGACCCCGGUAGUCCCUGUCUCUUAUAC